UCUGGCCCCUAGAGGCGUUGCAGGUGUGGCUGCUGUAUCACAAAUGCGCCAGUAGGUGGCAGAGAGGAGACAGGCUCUGUCUACACUCUCAUUGGUCAACAUCUGAAGAAUUAGUAGCCUAACAUU